GACGAACGCUGGCGGCGUGCCUAAUACAUGCAAGUCGAGCGCAGGAAGCCGUCUGAACCCUUCGGGGGGACGACGGUGGAAUGAGCGGCGGACGGGUGAGUAACACGUAAAGAACCUACCCAUAGGUCUGGGAUAACCACGAGAAAUCGGGGCUAAUACCGGAUGUGUCAGCGGACCGCAUGGUCCGCUGCUGAAAGGCGCACCGGCGUCGCCCCGGGCUGGCUUUGCGGUGCAUUAGCUAGUUGGUGGGGUAACGGCCCACCAAGGCGACGAUGCAUAGCCGACCUGAGAGGGUGAUCGGCCACACUGGGACUGAGACACGGCCCAGACUCCUACGGGAGGCAGCAGUAGGGAAUCUUCCACAAUGGACGAAAGUCUGAUGGAGCAACGCCGCGUGAACGAUGAAGGCUUUCGGGUCGUAAAGUUCUGUUGUAAGGGAAGAACAAGUGCCGCAGGCAAUGGCGGCACCUUGACGGUACCUUGCGAGAAAGCCACGGCUAACUACGUGCCAGCCGCCGCCGUAAUAC
rnacentral:rRNA from 1 species